CUGCAUCUUUGACAGCCUGGGCUCUCUGGUGUGAGAGAUCCUGGGUUUUAUAAUUUCAGAUGCAACAUUAAAUGUCCCCGCGCUUUCUGCCCGCCUCAACAUGGUGUCUCAGAUUGAAGAGGGGACGAUAAAU